UCACUUCUGGAUGGACCUGCGGUGCAUUAGCUUGUUGGUGGGGUAAUGGCCUACCAAGGCGAUGAUGCAUAGCCGAGUUGAGAGACUGAUCGGCCACAAUGGGACUGAGACACGGCCCAUACUCCUACGGGAGGCAGCAGUAGGGAAUCUUCCACAAUGGGCGCAAGCCUGAUGGAGCAACACCGCGUGAGUGAAGAAGGGUUUCGGCUCGUAAAGCUCUGUUGUUAAAGAAGAACACGUAUGAGAGUAACUGUUCAUACGUUGACGGUAUUUAACCAGAAAGUCACGGCUAACUACGUGCCAGCAGCCGCGGUAAUACGUAGGUGGCAAGCGUUAUCCGGAUUUAUUGGGCGUAAAGAGAGUGCAGGCGGUUUUCUAAGUCUGAUGUGAAAGCCUUCGGCUUAACCGGAGAAGUGCAUCGGAAACUGGAUAACUUGAGUGCAGAAGAGGGUAGUGGAACUCCAUGUGUAGCGGUGGAAUGCGUAGAUAU
rnacentral:rRNA from 3 species